ACCCAGCAGCUAGGUACAUAAGCCAUCUGAAAUUCUCCAGGACAUCUGAAGGAGAAGAGCUCUAGAAAAGUGAAGACAAUCUUUCUGAGUGCUGUAAUCAACAAGCCGACAAGAUGUGUAGCAUGGAUUGUGUUGCCAAUGCCGUAAGGACGGUCUUCAGGACCAUAAAAAGGGUAUUUGAAAAGACCAAAGAAGUGAUUGAGCAUCCUUUUGAAGAACCCAAACCAGGACCUGACAAAACAGAUUGAGGUCAUGAUGGACUUCACCAUCCUUGAUAUGCAGAGAUCUUCUAUAUUGUUAAAUAAUUCCAUGUAAUAUUGGGUCAAAAUUCCCAAAAAGAAUAAAAGUCAUGUUGACCUGAA